GAUGAACGCUGGCGGCGUGCCUAAUACAUGCAAGUCGAGCGAACGGACGAGAAGCUUGCUUCUCUGAUGUUAGCGGCGGACGGGUGAGUAACACGUGGAUAACCUACCUAUAAGACUGGGAUAACUUCGGGAAACCGGAGCUAAUACCGGAUAAUAUUUUGAACCGCAUGGUUCAAAAGUGAAAGACGGUCUUGCUGUCACUUAUAGAUGGAUCCGCGCUGCAUUAGCUAGUUGGUAAGGUAACGGCUUACCAAGGCAACGAUGCAUAGCCGACCCGAGAGGGUGAUCGGCCACACUGGAACUGAGACACGGUCCAGACUCCUACGGGAGGCAGCAGUAGGGAAUCUUCCGCAAUGGGCGAAAGCCUGACGGAGCAACGCCGCGUGAGUGAUGAAGGUCUUCGGAUCGUAAAACUCUGCUAUUAGGGAAGAACAUAUGUGUAAGUAACUGUGCACAUCUUGACGGUACCUAAUCAGAAAGCCACGGCUAACUACGUG
rnacentral:rRNA from 1 species